AUGGCAGGAUCUAGAUCGAGUGUUCAUGGAGAAAACCAUGGGGAAGAAGAUGCCCCGAUCACACGUGCCGAGCUGCAGCGACUCAAGAACAACUUACUCCAAGCCAUGGAAAGGAUGCUUCAUGAGCUCCUCUAG
rnacentral:rRNA from 1 species